rnacentral:rRNA from 1 species
CAAACCAAAGCUGGCGACCGGCGCACGGGUGAGUAACACGUAUCCAACCUGCCUCAUACUCGGGGAUAGCCUUUUGAAAGAAAGAUUAAUAUCCGAUAGCAUAUAUUUCCCGCAUGGGUUUUAUAUUAAAGAAAUUCGGUAUGAGAUGGGGAUGCGUUCCAUUAGUUUGUUGGGGGGGUAACGGCCCACCAAGACUACGAUGGAUAGGGGUUCUGAGAGGAAGGUCCCCCACAUUGGAACUGAGACACGGUCCAA